CUGGAGGACUUAAUGCUCUCAUUUCCUGUUUGAAAUAGGCUCAGGUCAGCUUGUUGUGUUGGUGUGGGCACAACCUGCAGCCAUCCUUGACCACCUCAUGAACUAAAACUUGUCCCAGAGCUGGAUAAGAAGAUGUUUGGGCACCGCUGUGUGUUGGGAACUGUCCAAAUGUUCCAACCCCAAGACACUUCAAAAAGACUUCUAAUGAGAAGCUGAGGAGUUGGAAGAAAACCAGUCAGAAUUCUUGAAGUUGGCCAAUGAAGUCCAAGAGAGGACCAGCCUGGAUCUUGCAUCCCAAAAAGCCAAGCUGAGCCUCUGGAGCUCACACCCAGCUGGCACAGCUGCCUCUGCCCAGAUGGGAGGAUCCCUGGCCACGGGGUGGACAAUAUACUCACAAUAAAUUUAUAUACACAUCAUUAUAUAUAUGGAGGUGUUCACUUUAUUCUCUUUUUUCAUUUGGAAAGUUGUGUGUAAUGUAAAGAAUUGGCAAGCAGCUACCAUCAACUACAACAAAAAUAUUUGAAACUUCUUUCCUCCUGUGAUGCUUCACUUGCUCCACAUCCAAUGCAAGCCAAAGAAUGCUGGGCUUGCAAAUGACUUUUCAUGAUGAAUUCAUGUCCAGUUGGAAGUGGCUGUAGGAACUUCUGCUACUGGAAUUGAGGAAAUGCACCUUGGCAUCUAAAGGGAUGAGCAAGAGAGGUAGCUGAAGACUUGCUGUGUGUCAGAGUAGCCUGCUGGGUUGUAAAGACUUGUGAAGAAAACAGAGUUGGUGCAGUUAAUUGUCCACAGAAAUUUCUUUGCGAGCUGUUUCUGCUCACAGAAAUGCUGUUCUCCUCUUUCACUUGGUGAGGAAGCUGUGGUACCUGCCAUCUCUGCAGAAGAGUUUUUGAUCUCCAAAGUUUUUGGUUUCAGAAGAGAAACAGGCUGAACUUGGGGGGUAUUGCUGGAAUGGGACAUUUCCCACCACCUUUUUUCUGCUCUGCAGCUGGCCUUGCCCCACCAUGUAAAUGGGGGAAUUUUGUGGAGAACAUUAUCUCCGCUUUUGCAGACCUCUGUCAGAAACUUCAGCCUCUGUGUGGACGGGCCAGAAGUACUAAAACACAAUUUCAGAGCGAACCAGAAGGAUUUCCAUGACUGGAUUUUUGGUCCAUAGCCCAGCAGAACCCUUAAACACAUGUGCAAUCUGAGGGAAGUGUGUAACAUCUUAAGUGAAUUUGUUUCAGCUGUGUUCACGCCUCUAUGUCAAGUACUUCAGAUGAAAAUUGGGACUAUAAAACCCUGCUGGUAUGAAAGUUUUUUCUUCUAUAAAGUUUAAAGUUGUGUGCAGCAGUAUUCCAUAUCCCAAACUAAUAGUUUGCAUGUGCGAACCAAAGUAUUAAGUUCACAGUUUUUGAGCAAAGCCAAUGUUUAUGAUGUGACACAUCCAGUGUGUCACUUACCUGCUCAACCACAAAGCUGCCUCAUAUUUUGUGGAAUUGGGAUCUGUGGGAUAGCAAGACUUGCUGCUGCAAAGAGGUUAAAUUAAUCAAGUUGUUUGAAUGGGAGAAAUUAUUAAGUGAUCAAAAUAUACAGCUCAUUUUUGUAGUAAAGUGAAGUGGAUGGCUUGCUUAUCUCAGUGUCCACAUGCAUGUAUUCCUGCUCUUUCAGGAAAUUCAUCUCCAGUGCAAAUUCACAGAUUUCCCAUCUUUGGACUAGCAUAAUUCAGACUUCUGGCUGUGAAAGUGAUUCCAGGCGAAGAAACUGGAUCCUGUUUAAUAUCUGAAAGUCUUCAUCUGUGCUGGGGAAGGGUCACCACGUGUUCUGUCAGCAGAGUUACCAGCUUUAAGCAGACACACAUAUCUGGGGCUGCAUGAUUUAAAGGGGUAACAUUUUUCAGUAGUUAAAAGAUGCCAGCUGGGUAAAUAAACCCAGACCAUCAUGCACAAGUCCUCCUGCUUCCCAAAGUUCAUUAGAGAUAACAAGACUCUUGGCAUUUGGAUAAUAAAUCCACGCUCUAAGGGCUGCUGUGUGCAGGUUGAGGAGCUCAGAUGGUGACAUUAAUGGUGCAAAUACAAUAACAUUUGAAAAGAAACUUCUUGGAGGGGAGAGGAGGGAGCAGGAAAGGGCAGCCAAGUGUUGGAGCACUGGGGGGAAUUUCACAAUUGCACCUCUCUGUGCAGAGCACCCACCACAGACAGACCUGCCACAGGCUGCUGGUUAUUUCUGUGUCAGGGAAGGGAGUGUUUGGGGCAGUGACAGGUGGGGAAUGGGGAUGUUCCCUGCCUGAGCUGGUUUGUCUGGCCUCAGCAGUGGGGGCAGAUGGGCUCAGGGACUGCCUGGGAUGUCACCCCCAGCUCUUCCUUCCUCACCUGCCUCCCUGCAAUGGUUUCAUUUGCACUGAGUUACCUGCCUGUGUGCUUGGGCUGUGGGUAUUUGGCUGUAAUCCCAAAAUACUUCUUGAAAAGUUUGUGCAGGGGAAAGUUAAAACCUCCAGAAAAACACUGUGAGAUACUCAGUGAGGCAGGGGCUACCUGUGAUUUUUGGUAAUAAGCCCCUUUUUAUUGCUUUAGUACUAAUUACCAACUCCUCCAUCAGAUACAGAAACUGUGUACAUCCAUGAUCUGUGCUGAUCUGAUAACACCUGUGCACCAGUGUUCUCCUUGGCCAGCAGAGCAAAAAAAAAAAAAAAAGAACAAAUGUAAUUUUGAAA